CCUACGGGGGGCAGCAGUGGGGAAUAUUGGACAAUGGGGCAACCCUGAUCCAGCCAUGCCGGGUGUGUUGAGAAGGCCCUCGGGUUGGAAAGCACUUUCAGUGAGGAAGAACGCCUGGUGGUUAAUACCCCUCAGGAAAGACCUCACUCACAGAAGAAGCCCCGGCUAACUCCGUGCCAGCAGCCGCGGUAAUACGGAGGGUGCGAGCGUUAAUCGGAAUUACUGGGCGUAAAGCGCGCGUAGGUGGCUUGAUAAGCCGGUUGUGAAAGCCCCGGGCUCAACCUGGGAACGGCAUCCGGAACUGUCAAGCUAGAGUGCAGGAGAGGAAGGUAGAAUUCCCGGUGUAGCGGUGAAAUGCGUAGAGAUCGGGAGGAAUACCAGUGGCGAAGGCGGCCUUCUGGACUGACACUGACACUGAGGUGCGAAAGCGUGGGUAGCAAACAGGAUUAGAUACCCUGGUAGUC
rnacentral:rRNA from 1 species